rnacentral:piRNA from 1 species
GCAUAUACUAGCAUGAUUUUAU